rnacentral:rRNA from 1 species
GAUGAACGCUGGCGGCGUGCCUAACACAUGCAAGUCGAACGAAAAGACGAGGAGCUUGCUCCACUGACGUUAGCGGGGGACGGAUGAGUAACACAUCCAUCACCUACCUUUAAGACAGGGAUAAAAACGUGGAACCGGUGCUGAUAACGGGUAAUAUAUUGAACCGGAGGGUUCAAUAGUGCAAGGCGGUUUUGAUGUCAUUUAUACAUGGAUCCGCGUCGGAUUAGUUAGUUGGUAGGGUAACGGCUUACCAAGGCAGCGAUGCGUUGCUGACCUGGCAGGGGGAUCGGCCACACGGGAACUGAGCCACGGCCCAGACUCCGACGGGAGGCAGCAGUGGGUAAGCUUCGGAAAUGGGCGAAAGCCUGAACAAGCAACGCCGCGUGGGUGAAGAAGGUCUUCGGGUGGUAAGACUCUGUUAGUGGGGAAAAACAAAUGUGGAAGUAACGAUGCACGUUGUGACGGUACCUAAAGAAGAAGCACCGGCUAACUACGUG